rnacentral:rRNA from 1 species
UACGUAGGGGGCAAGCGUUGUCCGGAUUUAUUGGGCGUAAAGCGCACGCAGGCGGUCUGUUCAGUUUGGAGUGACAGUUCCUGGCUCAACCGGGAAAGUGCUUCGAAUACUGGCGGACUUGAGGGCUUCAGAGGGACACGGAAUUCCGGGUGGAGUGGUGAAAUGCGUAGAGAUCCGGAGGAACACCAAAGGCGAAGGCAGUGUCCUGGGGAGUACCUGACGCUCAGGCGCGAAAGCCAGGGGAGCGAACGGG